GCAAAGCAUCGAAUAUGAAGAAGAAACAAAAAGUGACAUAUUGCGGUGGUUGUUCUCCAGAGUCAUGGAUUCCUGCUUCGGUGCUAUAAAUUCAUCAUGUUUGUGACAAGUGGAGGAGGAUGUUUUUAAUUGCGACAACCUUCGAUGGCACCGAGGCCCGGCCUCCAGGGAGCUUGCAGCAACGAUGACCACCGCAUUUACUCUUGUGCUGCUCGCUGGACUUCGACUGCCCCGUUGUUGGUUCCUGCCACCAUUGCAUCACAAAACUGUUGAGUGGCGAUCACCCUACAAAAGGCACACAUGCGCGUCACCUCGCUCCACACAUUGUGAGCAGUCUGAGCGAGGGCAGAUCACCGACUGUCCUCGCACGCUGCCGUCACCACGUCUUCACACUUCAAGAUAUAUCAUCGUGGCCCUCUGAAGGGAACCAUAACUACGAUAUGGCCCGCAACAGAAAUGAGUUUGACAAUCCUGCCAGACUACAUUAUGGAUGCACUACUAUUUCAGGGUAUUGUAAUAUGUGAUAAUAUCUUAUGAGUUUUUCUGUAAUCCCUACCCCUACAUUACACCGGUGUAAUAAAUUAAUUGGCAAUUUAAUUGUUGGUAAGUUUGAAAGGUCUGUUUAUUUCUGUUGAUGCCGUUAUUUACUUUACUUGGGUUAAACCGUUGGAACGUAUCUGACAAAGGCAGGAGUUUUGACAUGGUUUUAUCAUGCCAGUGUCCCCGAAAUCAUUGCUGAUAAUUUGUUACGCUUAAUUUGUUAAUUUAAUCUUAGCCAUCGCAAUUAUGUGUGAAUGGCAAACUCUUGCAGAUACAUUUAGAGAAGUAAUUAAAAGGAUGCCAAUCUUUUCGAUCGUCAGGCACGGAGCUGCAGACCUGAGGGGCCUCGAGUGUAAUCCCUUCACACCGCAGAGCUCAGA